GCCAAACAUUUACUGGACUGAUUUAAAUAUUAAAAUCACUCCUUUCUAAUCCUCUGCUGUACGUCAAACCCGAGGCCUUAAAUAGAAACACACAAGUAUCUGAUUGAAGGAACUUCUGCAGAGUCCUGGUUCCAGAACAUGAUGAUAGAAUUAUAGACAAACUUUAACAAAAGCUGCCUUACAGUUUAUAGGUUUUUAUGUUAGAUUUCUUCAGUAAUUUAAUGAGUUAUCAGCAAAAAUCAAGUGUUCAUUUGAUGAACUUCAUUUCCGAAAACAUCCAGAAUCGGAGCUCAUAUCUUUGGCAGCUGCAAAGUUUCUGCUCCUUCAAGGUUCACAACACAAUGAAUUAAUUCCUAAAACACUCUCAAUGCUGGAGAGCGUUUGAUGCUGAAGCAGUGAUCAGUUUUUCUGUUUCUUCUCUGGAAAUGCACAAUGAGGGACGUCUGCAGAGACUGAGAAAGAGUCUCACCACAUCCUGACAUGAGGAAAAAGACUUUAUUGAAGACUAGAAUGAGAAAAACUAUCAGACAGCAGACGGCUGCAUUCAAGUCUGUAGCUGCUGAAUUCAUGGAUGAAUCAUCUGGCACUAGAGAGGAAGACUAUCAAACAUCCACAUCAGCUGAUGGAGGUCCAAGAGUCUCACCAAACAACCUACAGAGUGAAGACCUCAAAUCUGAUUGGACGGCCUCCUAUUCAGCCACGUGUGAACAAAUGCCUCUAAGUUGAUUUGUUUUCUAAAAUAAAUCUAGUUUGAGUCCUAA